rnacentral:rRNA from 1 species
UGGGGAAUAUUGGACAAUGGGGGCCAACCCUGAUCCAGCCAUGCCGCGUGAGUGAUGAAGGCCUUCGGGUUGUAAAGCUCUUUUGGCGGGGACGAUGAUGACGGUACCCGCAGAAUAAGCCCCGGCUAACUUCGUGCCAGCAGCCGCGGUAAGACGAAGGGGGCUAGCGUUGUUCGGAAUUACUGGGCGUAAAGCGAGUGUAGGCGGUUGCCGUAGUCAGGUGUGAAAGCCUUGAGCUCAACUCAAGAAAUGCACUUGAUACUGGGUGACUAGAGGACCGGAGAGGAUAGUGGAAUUCCCAGUGUAGUGGUGAAAUACGUAGAGAUUGGGAAGAACACCAGUGGCGAAGGCGGCUAUCUGGACGGUUACUGACGCUAAGACUCGAGAGCGUGGGGGAGCAAACAGGAUUAGAUACCCUGGUAGUCCACGCCGUAAACGAUGGGUGCUAGACGUUGGCGAGCUUGCUCGUCAGUGUCGCGGCUAACGCGUUAAGGCACCCCCGCCUGGGGAGUACGGCCGCAAGGUUGAAAACUCAAAAUUGAAUUGACGGGGGUCAUAGCUG